UGGGGAAUAUUGGACAAUGGGCGAAAGCCUGAUCCAGCCAUGCCGCGUGUGUGAAGAAGGUCUUCGGAUUGUAAAGCACUUUAAGUUGGGAGGAAGGGCAGUAAGCGAAUACCUUGCUGUUUUGACGUUACCGACAGAAUAAGCACCGGCUAACUCUGUGCCAGCAGCCGCGGUAAUACAGAGGGUGCAAGCGUUAAUCGGAGUUACUGGGCGUAAAGCGCGCGUAGGUGGUUCGUUAAGUUGAAUGUGAAAGCCCCGGGCUCAACCUGGGAACUGCAUCCAAAACUGGCGAGCUAGAGUAGGGCAGAGGGUGGUGGAAUUUCCUGUGUAGCGGUGAAAUGCGUAGAUAUAGGAAGGAACACCAGUGGCGAAGGCGACCACCUGGGCUCAUACUGACACUGAGGUGCGAAAGCGUGGGGAGCAAACAGG
rnacentral:rRNA from 1 species